UGCUGUGUCCUCACUCACCU
rnacentral:miRNA from 1 species